GAUAUGGCUGCCUCUUGAGUACCUCUUGGAGAGACUACAGGUGGAGUCCUGCCAUGUCAAACUUAAGGUCCUGAAGAUUCUCCUGCAUUUAUGUGGCCAUGGACCACCUCACUUCCUCACAGAGCUACGGCGGAAUGCUACAUUUAUACAAGAAGUAAUUGUCAAGAUGCAGUGAUGUCACCAACCCAUUUCACUUGGGGAAACAGGAUAUUCAGCAAGAUAAAAAUGUAGGGUGGGACUUGGUUUUAGCCACUGGGAAAUGAUUGGAUUGGAAAGUGGUCUCUGUAUGGGAUGAAUUGGUGAUGCCAGCCAAACUGGGAAGUCAUUUAAAGGCAAAGCAAUAAUUUAUAUUGUGAUGAAAGUUUGCAAAGACAUAUGUUUCUUGAGCACCAAAUCAGCAUAU